rnacentral:misc_RNA from 1 species
GAUGAAGAACGUAGCGAAAUGCGAUAAGUAAUGUGAAUUGCAGAAUUCAGUGAAUCAUCGAAUCUUUGAACGCACAUUGCGCCCCCUGGUAUUCCGGGGGGUAUGCCUGUUCGAGCGUCAUUACAACCCUCAAGCUCUGCUUGGUAUUGGGCCCCGCCAGUUCUGGCGGGCCCUAAAGUCAGUGGCGGUGCCUUCCGGCUCCGAGCGUAGUAAUUCUUCUCGCUCUGGAGACCCGGUUGUGUGCUUGCCAACAACCCCCAAUUUUUUAAGGUUGACCUCGGAUCAGGUAGGGAUACCCGCUGAACUUAAGCAUAUCAAUAAGCGGAGGA